rnacentral:misc_RNA from 1 species
CAAAUUUUUAUAUGGCAUGAGCUUUCCUUUUUUUAUCUGAUUUGACUGAGUUUACUGAGUGGAGACUAGAGUUGCUAACGAGUUAACAGUCUGCUCCCAAGUUGUCCAAUGGAGAGAGAAGGGUACAGUCAUAGAGGAAGAGGUGGCCGUGGAAGAGGAGGUAGUGGCGGUGUUGGCAAGGGGCAACAAUGGAUACCAACAACCCAGGGUAGAGGUGGGGCCCAGG